UACGGAGGGGGCUAGCGUUGUUCGGAAUUACUGGGCGUAAAGCGCACGUAGGCGGCUUUGUAAGUUAGAGGUGAAAGCCCAGGGCUUAACCCUGGAAUUGCCUUUAAGACUGCAUCGCUAGAAUCGUGGAGAGGUAAGUGGAAUUCCGAGUGUAGAGGUGAAAUUCGUAGAUAUUCGGAAGAACACCAGUGGCGAAGGCGACUUACUGGACAGGUAUUGACGCUGAGGUGCGAAAGCGUGGGGAGCAAACAGG
rnacentral:rRNA from 1 species